ensembl:lncRNA
CACAGGAGGAAAAUGAGCUGUCACUCCAAUUCCCAGGAUGCCUUGCUGCUUAGCAUAACUCCACUCUGCGGCCCAGGGUCCACUGGUCCGUACUCUGACAGAUAAUUAAGAAAGCAGCAGCUUUUUCUAGACGGCUCUUCCUCAUGAUUUGCAUUUUAGCCAGAGGCGACCAGUUAUAAAAAAAACAUGAUGGAAAGAUGGUAAGAAGCCAAUUAGAUGGAUGGAUGGCUGACUGACAGCUCUCUGGUAUUACUACUCCAGAUUUCAUUCUAUGUAUCCUGGCAGUUUUCAACGGGAACCAACUCUGCAGGUGGAAGUUAUUCACUCAGAGAGUGGUGACGCACUGGAACAGGUUGUCCAAGGAGGCUGUGGAUGCCCCAUCCCUGGAUGCAUUCAAGGCCAGGCUGGAUGUGUCUCUGGGCAGCCUGGUCUGGUGGUUGGCGACCCUGCACAUAGCAGGGGGUUGGAACUGGAUGAGCACUGUGGUCCCUUUCAACCCAGGCCGUUCUAUGAUUCUGUGAUUCUUCUGAGUGGAGUUAAAGAGGCCAUCAGUGAGCGUCUUACUGCUACAUAUCUGGCUUAAAAUGAACAGCUGCUCCAGAGAUCUGGAAAUACUCUCUUUAGUUUUGAAUAGGAGGAGAAACUGAAGCGGAAGCAGGUGUUUGUGGCUGUGUUGUGUGAGUGAACAGAGACACCCACAGCUCCAUCAGUGCUCAGAGCCCCGUCCAGCGUGACCUUGGCUGUCUGCAGGGAUGGGCCAUCUCUGGGCAACAAGAGGAAUGGUCAAUGGUGACACAUUGUCACUUCAUUUUCAAGUGGUGUGGUGAGUCAUUAGGUAUCCUUCCUCUCUUUGUAGCUGCACAGUCACUGGGAUCAAAUUUAAAACGUGCAAAACCCCGAAUUCCUCAGAAUGCGGUGUGAAAGUGCACUUUGCUCACCGUUGUGAAAGCCAGCCGGCGAGCUUUGAGUUAUUCCCGUUAUUUCAGGAGAGGCAUAUUCCCUCUUUCUCACUAAAAGUGAGAAUACCGAGGGAAGAGAGGUGGCAGCGUGGCUAAAAUACGGAAUGAGGAAGUCACACCAACCUGUUCUGCUGCUUCGGUUGUUCAAGAGUCGGAUUUCCCGGUGUCGGAACUGCAUCACGGCAGCACUAGGUGGCAAUGUUGCUACAACGAAAACUCCCAUCGCUCCGCUCCAGCAGAGACCCCCGCCACGCUUUGCAGACAAUGCGAAGAGCUGUCGCCGCUUCGGCAGUUGCAUGGCAUCGUUUGGGUUGGCCGGGACUGCUCCGAGGUUGGCUGGUUGGUUGGCGUUUUCAUGAAGGAGCAAGUUGGAGUGAUAAAUUGGUUUUGCUUAUGGGUUUGGUCAUUCCUACUGAAUUUGCAGUGGAUCUGGGGGUUGUUGAGUAAGGCACAGAGAAAUGAGCUGCUGACAGUCGUGUUAGGAUGAGGCUCCAUCAUCUGACAAAGAUCAUGAGGACUCAAGCCUGAUCCUUAUCAUAAAAUCAUAGAAUUAUAGAAUGGCCUAGGUUGAAAAGGACCACAAUGCUCAUCCAGUUCCAACCUCCUGCUAUGUGCAGGGUCGCCAACCAGCAGACCAGGCUACCCAGAGACACAUCCAGCCUGGCCUUGAAAUAAUAAUAUCACUCAUGAGACCAUGGAAAGAAUAUAACUUGUACCUUCCCUCGUGUGCUAAUUCCAGUGAAAUCAAAGCCAAAAUUGUGGGGUAUAAAGUUUAGGGUGUGGGCAGCUUUUUCCAAGAUUAGUGCAUCUGAAGAAGAGUGAGCCAAUGGAAGCACGGAACAGCUAGCAGUUCAAUCUGUGUUUAAUCAACUACAGAGAAACAGCGUUCAUCAGGUCAUGAUGCUGAGGGGGCUCUGCACACUCCAAGUAUUUAUUUUAAUCCUCCUUAAUACCCACCAUUUGCAGUUAUAGUAAACUGCAAACUGCAGCUCUGGUUACCAAUAGGAUAAGCGACACUUCUGGUCUGAGUUUACCUCAUCGCUCAAGGGAUCAUCAUGAAAAUUCAGAUUUUAAUUCCAUUUUAAAGAAAAUGUUGCAUCCUGCUGACAGUAGCUGUGAUGGAUGAGAGUAAAAAUGGCCAAAGUGCAGAAAAAUCUUCUACCCUUUGCCAGGGAAGGGGAGUGGGCUGCACAUCCUGCAUUUCUACUGCAAAGGAUGCUCCAAAAGUAAUGCCUUCUAUUUUAUUGUCUUGGGCCACGACGUCAGAGGCAGAUGUCGGUGGGAUGACAGUAGAUACUGAGUCUUCCCACCAAUAUCCUGCUACAUUUUGUUCUGUGUGACAGACAACAGCAGAAAGACAGUCUGAAAGUACGGCAUCUGACAUGGAAAUGGGUAUGGAGCAAAGGUGUGUAAUUGAAUUCUUCCUUGAAGAAAAAGCAGCACCUACUGACAUUCAUUGAUGCUUACCGAAUGUUUAUGGAGACCAAACAGUGGGUUUGAGCACAACAAGGGGUGGGUUUUGUAUUUCUGCAGUGGUGAUAAUGACAUGAAAUACAAACCAUGUUCUAGACAGCCAUGCACAGCUGUCAGACCAUGAACUGAAGACAGUCUCAAUCAGCUCAUCCACACAUUCUGCUAAUGGUGAUGAUUGUUUUUUGUAGCUGAGAAUUCACUCUAUUCAAUAGUGUUAUUUUGUUCUUUGUAUGCAUUGUACCUUCCAUGGAAAUAUAUGCAUUACUUCUAGAGCGACCUAUGUAGUUUAUGAACAGUUGGAUUCUCAUAAUGGAUACUCAGAGGGUGGUGACACAUUGGAACAGGUUGCUCAAGGAGGUUGUGGAUGCCCCAUCCCUGCAGGCAUUCAAGGCCAGGCUGGAUGUGGCUCUGGGCAGCCUGGUCUGCUGGUUGGUGAUGCUGCACAUAGCAGGGGGGUUAAAACUCGAUGAUCAUUGUGGUCCUUUUCAACCCAGGCCAUUCUAUGAUUCUAUGAUUACAUGAUUAUAUGAUACUAAAUUAAUUGGUGGUGAAUUGCACCAGAGUUAUACAGGGGUCAGCAUCAAACCUUGUGCAGCUUCUCAGUGAUGACCAGUGAAGUUCUUACAUGAUGCUCAUAAGGAUCCAGAGAGGCAUCAGUGGUAGAACGAAGGGUCUAAGCAAUCCAUUAUUCCUGCCUUGUUGAUUGUGAGCAAUAUUGAGUCAGAUUUUCUUAUUCUGUUAGCUUUAGUUAUCAGUUAAGUAAACGCUGUUUUUCUUUACCUCUUACAUGAAGAUCACCUGCCAGAUCUGUUACUAGAAUCUCAUAGCAUGUUUUCUCAGAGUAGUGAUUACAUAUAUAUAUAUAAUUAAUUUUGUAAUGAAUUGUAUUAUGUUGUAAAAUAUUGUAUUUUAUCCUUCCGGAGCAACAGGAGAAAUUACAGGCCUUGUUCGAGGUGUGUUCAAAGGAGAAUUUAGAAUUACUCUUUGGAUUUCUUUCGAGUGGUGAGGAAGGAAUUCAUCUUUAUUAUUACUUUGGAGUCUCUUCGAUUUUCUAUAUAAGUCAAAAGUAAUAAAAUGGAUGAACUUAUCAGAGUUUUGUAUAAGUAUGUGCACCCAAGCACUUGAGGUUGUUUAAUGGACUUACUCUUCAAACAGUAAAUGCAGAGCUUCUUGAAGAUUUUCAGUGGAAAAAAGUGAGUAAGGCUUUGAAUCAGUUUUCCUUUGUAAGUCUCUCAUUUAUGUAGGCUAUUUUAAAAUGAACAUGUUAUUGGACUUCUCUAUAAGGGUGGAAUUUGAGCUAAUUUAGGUGGAUAUUUUUCUUUAUUUUGAAACAAUCUUUUUAAUGAAUAUUUAUCUCACAACUGGUAUUGUAUUUGCAUAUUUCUACAGUGAGCAAGGCUGUGACUUCUCUAAGUCAAAUUUUCUUGUUUGGUGGGAUAAAUCCAUGAUCUAGUGCCUAGAAAAGAGAAUGUGUCUGGCAGUGGGCAGAGCUGAGAAGCCUGCAUUGGGAAUGGCUCAAAUAGCCUAUAAAAAUGCUGUCUUAAUGUUGGAAUAAUCUCAGUGCUGGAUCAAAUUCUUAAAGUUUCACUGUCCCUUGUAGAAAAUAUUAUUGAGAGUAAUACUGAAAAACAGAAGAACAAGAAUAAAGCCCUGCUAGAGUAUACUGUCUGAAGAGUUUCACUUCCCUUUUUUAUAAUGCCAUUUAGUACUGUGAAAAUAGACAAUUCAGUUUCUCACCUUGAGCCAUACAUUUAGAUUGGAAGGGGAAAAAAGGAUGAAACAAGGGAUUUUUGGUGUUUUUUAGCCGUAUGAACACACAUAGACUUUGUCAGCACAGUAAAGUUGUGCUGAUAUCUGAGGAAAAGUCAGAAGCAGCUGAAAGACAGAAAGUUUAAAGAAGUGAAAAGAUGUGCAUUUCUGGCCUUAUUCAUGUCUCAUUAGCUUCUGGCACACUGUAUUGCCUAGACUAGCAAAAACAGGUUUUCUUUCUCCUUUUUCAUGCAAAUUUGAAC